rnacentral:rRNA from 1 species
CGCGGCCUAUCAGCUUGUUGGUGAGGUAACGGCCCACCAAGGCGACGACGGGUAGCCGGCCUGAGAGGGUGACCGGCCACACUGGGACUGAGACACGGCCCAGACUCCUACGGGAGGCAGCAGUGGGGAAUAUUGCACAAUGGACGCAAGCCUGAUGCAGCAACGCCGCGUGAGGGACGACGGCCUUCGGGUUGUAAACCUCUUUUAGUAGGGAAGAAGCGAUGUGCUUGUCACAUCAUGACGGUACCUGCAGAAAAAGCACCGGCUAACUACGUGCCAGCAGCCGCGGUAAUACGUAGGGUGCAAGCGUUAUCCGGAAUUAUUGGGCGUAAAGAGCUCGUAGGCGGUUUGUCGCGUCUGCUGUGAAAACUGGAGGCUCAACCUCCAGCCUGCAGUGGGUACGGGCAGACUAGAGUGCGGUAGGGGAGAUUGGAAUUCCUGGUGUAGCGGUGGAAUGCGCAGAUAUCAGGAGGAACACCGAUGGCGAAGGCAGAUCUCUGGGCCGUAACUGACGCUGAGGAGCGAAAGCAUGGGGAGCGAGCAGGAUUAGAUACCCUGGUAGUCCAUGCCGUAAACGUUGGGCGCUAGGUGUGGGGCUCUUUCCACGAGUUCCGUGCCGCAACAAACGCAUUAAGCGCCCCGCCUGGGGAGUACGG